UAACGCAGGACUCCAGCCUGUUGCAUCCCUGCCUCACCCUCGGGCUUUCCCGCAGCGGUGCAUGAGCCAGUGCCCAUUCUCAGCUGACCAUAUUGUGCCGGGCAGUGAUUUAAUACAGCACAUGUAAGCGUGCCCGCUCAACAAUACAAUCAAGCGUUUCAUCUAAGACUAUGGCAAGCAACCAGGCUCGGCAUGAAACUAUAUUGAAAUGCCCCUACAACCCUGCUCACAUGGUGAAGAGAAGCCGCUACCAAAUACAC